rnacentral:rRNA from 1 species
AGUGAACGCUGGCGGUAGGCCUAACACAUGCAAGUCGAACGGCAGCACAGUAAGAGCUUGCUCUUACGGGUGGCGAGUGGCGGACGGGUGAGGAAUACAUCGGAAUCUACUUUUUCGUGGGGGAUAACGUAGGGAAACUUACGCUAAUACCGCAUACGACCUACGGUUGAAAGCAGGGGAUCUUCGGACCUUGCGCGAUUGAAUGAGCCGAUGUCGGAGUAGCUAGUUGGCGGGGUAAAGGCCCACCAAGGCGACGAUCCGUAGCUGGUCUGAGAGGAUGAUCAGCCACACUGGAACUGAGACACGGUCCAGACUCCUACGGGAGGCAGCAGUGGGGAAUAUUAGACAAUGGGCGCAAGCCUGAUCCAGCCAUACCGCGUGGGUGAAGAAGGCCUUCGGGUUGUAAAGCCCUUUUGUUGGGAAAGAAAAGCAGCAGGUUAAUACCCCGCGGUUCUGACGGUACCCAAAGAAUAAGCACCGGCUAACUUCGUG